rnacentral:snRNA from 1 species
UCCUGAACUCUCAGAAAGAAACGUUCCUUGACGAUACAGAGAAGAUUAGCAUGGCCCCUGAGCAAGGAUGACACUGCAAAUUCGUGAAGCGUUCCAUAUUAAA